UACGUAGGGUGCAAGCGUUGUCCGGAAUUAUUGGGCGUAAAGAGCUCGUAGGCGGCUCAGUAAGUCGGGUGUGAAACCUCCAGGCUCAACCUGGAGACGCCACCUGAUACUGCUGUGGCUGGAGUCCGGUAGGGGAGCGUGGAAUUCCUGGUGUAGCAGUGAAAUGCGUAGAUAUCAGGAGGAACACCGAUGGCGAAGGCAGGUCUCUGGGCUGACACUGACGCUGAGGCGCGAAAGCUAGGGGAGCGAACAGG
rnacentral:rRNA from 1 species